rnacentral:lncRNA from 1 species
AAAGAAGUGGUGUCAGUGGUCAUGACAUAAAAAAAUCUCCUUAUUUAAGAGGGAGCAUGCAAAUUUUCUUUUCUUCUUCUUUUUUUUUUUUUUAAUCCUGCACAUACCAAGGGUUAGGAUGGCUGAAAGAUUGAUGGAAAAUUUAAUCUACUAAAUUUUUGUCCAUCUCUGUAAUUGAAUCCACUUAGCAUUUUGGAAAAAUGCCAGCAAGAACUAGCUUCUCCCAUCCUACAUGGAGUGAGAUAAAAGGAAUCCUGUUACUGCUUUUCUCUUGUGGCAGGCAUUUCUGCAGGAAAUGAAACUUUUCAGAAAACUAAUGACUGUGUCCAACCUUUCUUUCUAUUCUUUUCCAUUUCAGAAGUGGCAUAAUCUUGCACUAAAUCUCACUGAUCCAGCUCUUCAAACCCAGCAGAGUUUAGGAUUGACAAAGUUUCUAAGGAGAGAACUGACCUAACACCUGAAGAGGACUCACAGUACAGAGUCAUGCAUGGAGGAUCUCACUCUGGCGGGCAGCUGUUAGGACCCAAGACCCUUCUGAAGCAAGUCCUGCCUCAGCCUAUAGAUGGAUCUCCGAGACAGAUAUGCACAUACGUGGGCAUCUGACCUAGUACCUUCAGCUGAAAUCCAGGUUGCACUUCAUCUAGAGAGGAAAGAAGCCAGGACACAAAAGAAGCCAGGACGAUUGCUGCCGCCCCCCGCCCCAAACCACACACCAGGCCUCCUCCCAGCAUACCCCUGGCUGCAACUAACAGCCUCCUCCACCACACAAGCCUCACAGACAACACCUCUGGCCACCCCCAAGCUCCCCUUGCAACGCCUCGGCCAGCCCCACAACAAGCAUGGCAGAAAUGGCAUUAGGACUGCUACUUUCUGCCAGUCAUCAGAUAUUAUUCUAGAUGUGAUGUUGCAGCCUUACUGGAAUUGCAAAGAAGAGGAAGAAGGACAGGAGAGUUGAACAAAGUGAUAAAAGGCUUGCCAUAACCCAGCUUCUGCAAGAACCAUGCAGAAUUAACGUUCUGCUGAACAACGGUUUCUCCAGAGCCUCCUGAAAGAUGGCAAUGGGAAAUGAUGAAGGUCCACAGUUUAGAUGCAUCGUAACUUCCUGCAAUCUUAGUGCAAGCAAAGCCCUCCUUCAGCCUACAGAAGCAGAUGUAAGUUUAAGUAUCUUAGCUAUAUUGCUUACUCUGCAACUUUGUUUCCAUAGAUGGACAUGAAUUCAAAUUGUCUCUGGUGAUGCUAAACGGAUAACUAAAGUCUGUAUCUGCUCAGAUUUUAUGGAAAGAUCAUUACAUAAUAAACACUUCACUGAUAGUGAGGGAACUGAAACA